rnacentral:tRNA from 18 species
AGGAGUGUAGCUCAGUUGGUAGAGCAUCGGUCUCCAAAACCGAGGGCCGUGGGUUCGAGUCCCCCCACUCCUGCCA